rnacentral:rRNA from 1 species
GACGAACGCUGGCGGCGUGCUUAACACAUGCAAGUCGAACGGAAAGGCCUUUUCGGCGGUACUCGAGUGGCGAACGGGUGAGUAACACGUGGGUGAUCUGCCCUGCCCUCUGGGAUAAGCCUGGUAAACUGGGUCUAAUACCGGAUAGGACCACACUUUAGUGUGUGUGGUGGAAAGUUUUUUCGGUGUAGGAUGAGCCCGCGUCCUAUCAGCUUGUUGGUGGGGUUAUGGCCUACCAAGGCGGCGACGGGUAGCCGGACUGAGAGGUUGGUCGGCCACAUUGGGACUGAGAUACGGCCCAGACGCCGACGGGAGGCAGCAGGGGGGAAUAUUGCACAAUGGGCGCAAGCCGGAUGCAGCGACGCCGCGUGGGGGAUGACGGCCUUCGGGUUGUAAACUACUUGCGCCAGGGACGAAGCGUUUUGUGACGGUACCUGGAGAAGAAGCACCGGCUAACUACGUG